UUGAACGAAUAUUAUUGAAAACAAAAAAAUCAAUUAUUGUAAAAAUUGUAGGAAUUGUGGUAAAAAGGAUAUAAAAUUCGCGUUGAAAGUAAUCAUUGAAAAUAUUCAUUAAAAAUUACUAAAAAAUUCAUGUAGGUACCUAUUUCAUAUCAGCAAAAUUGAUCGAAAAAUGCCCGUUAAUACGUGGUAACUUACUAUUAGGUCAAAUGAGAAAACAAAAGGAAUUUGAGAACAGUUGAGAAUUGAUAAGACAUCCGAUAAUUUUGAGCUCAAAAUACCGAAUAAUUAAUUCAGAAACAGUUUCUGAUUCUGAUUUCUCAUUUUGGUUGAACUGGUUUCAACUUUCAACCAAUGAGAAAUGUUAAAAUUUGAACGUAUUUAUACUGAAAUUACCUCGUAAUUCUUUCGUUUAUAAAUAAAAUAUGGCGAUGCGGACGACCGCUUCAACAUUGCAUGACGUCACUGUCGACAGUGUGUAUUUUCAUCUUGGGGAAGCUUAUUUUGCUCAUUAUAGUCAUUUUGGAGCAGUCGUGAGUACAUACUGUAUUUACAACAUUACAUUUUCAGUGAAUGUCUCAUUUUCAUCGUUCAAUGUACAUUGAAAUAAUGUACCCGAGUAGAAAAAGAAUAAAGUUAACGAAAUCGAAGCGUGAUUCCAAGUCUAGUUUUAAAAGCGCAGCUGUUGUUCAAUGUCACUCCGAUUCUGAUUCGGAUGUUGAAACAUACUACAUGGUUUAUACAGAACUGCUAAAAACUAUGCAAGUCGCUAAUUCCAAAAAAGCCCUUUCCAAAGAAGAAAAAAUUACGGCUAUCCUUGGAUAUUACAUGGAGCGUGAAAAAUUCACGCGUAUUGAACCGAAUAAAUAUCAUCUUUAUGUUGUGGAUAUUAAGGAGCCUUUUACGUUUGAAGUUAAGAUGACUGAUGCCGACACGGCACAAAUUAAACGACUCCCUCAUCCUGAUACUAAACAUCGGGUGAAUUCGAGUUGUUUAUCAUUUACGUACAAAACUCCCAUCACUCAAAGAAAAAAGUACUAGGAGAGACUUGCAGAUUCUUGAAAGCCAAGUUAGAGAGCUUCACAAUGCAUUUAAAAUAACAUGGGAAUCGAUCUCCGUUGAUGGAGCGUAUUCUACUUCCGAGCUGGACUCGGACAAAGAUCUACCUGAAUAGAAAUGCUGACUUCUCUGGUUGUACAACUACACUUCACUCAACUAGUGGCAGGGUAAUCUAAUUAUUUGCUGAUGCUGCGAUAUCUUGGUUUAGUCGACAUCAAGAGCUAGUUGCUGAUUCUAUACAUGUGAAUCUGAGAUCAUGGUUGCAAAUGCGAUGUCAAAAGAAGUUGUUUGGACUUCAUGUUUAUUCAUUGAACAGAAGUGAUAAAUUUUGAAUAAAAAUCCAAUUUUGUACAUUGAUAGUGAUGCUGAAAAAAGAAUUUUUGAAAAUAAUGAACUUCAUUCGAGAACAAAACAUAUUCAACAAAAGCAUUAGUUUAUUUGUGAAUGCACUAAAGAUGAAAUGUUGAAUGUAUGUAAUGUACCUAGUUCACAUAGAUAUAGUCAGUAAUUUACCUGAUGUUUUUACAAAACCUUUACCAUGAUUGUGAAAUGUUUUAAUAUCCUUUGAUCAAAAUUAGGAUUAUUAUAAUUAU